rnacentral:rRNA from 1 species
AUUGAACGCUGGCGGCAGGCCUAACACAUGCAAGUCGAGCGGAUGAAGGGAGCUUGCUCCUGGAUUCAGCGGCGGACGGGUGAGUAAUGCCUAGGAAUCUGCCUGGUCGUGGGGGAUAACGUCCGGAAACGGGCGCUAAUACCGCAUACGUCCUGAGGGAGAAAGUGGGGGAGCUUCGGACCUCACGCUAUCAGAUGAGCCUAGGUCGGAUUAGCUAGUUGGUGGGGUAAAUGCCUACCAAGGCGACGAUCCGUAACUGGUCUGAGAGGAUGACCAGUCACACUGGAACUGAGACACGGUCCAGACUCCUACGGGAGGCAGCAGUGGGGAAUAUUGGACAAUGGGGCAAAGCCUGAUCCAGCCAUGCCGCGUGUGUGAAGAAGGUCUUCGGAUUGUAAAGCACUUUAAGUUGUGAGGAAGGGCAGUAAGUUAAUACCUUGCUGUUUUGACGUUACCAACAGAAUAAGCACCGGCUAACUUCGUG